UUUGGGUCUGUUUCCCUGUGGAAUUGGCCCUUGGGUGUUCCCCCCACCCUCAGUGGCUCCUUGCCCCAGGGCACUGCCCCAAAGGCCUCGGCAGUGCCAACAGCUCACACCCAUUGCCCAUCCAACCCACUCCCCAGCUGGGACGGGAAUUCCGUGGGAAUUCUCCACAAUGCCCUCUGUAGGCUCCAGAUGAACAGAGCACACACUUUCCAGGGCCAGGGGAAGCGGGAAUGGGCCGGGGCUGCAGCAGGACACUGCCUGGGAGCUGGAGUAGCCCUGGGAGGAGCUGGCUGUGGUUCCCUGGGUGUAUCCCGGUGUAUCCCGGCAGCGCUCCCGGCUGUGCCGGCUGUCCCGGAGAGCUCUGCAGCGAGGAGUGCAGUACACGUGACCAUGCAGAGAUAAAACCUCAUCUGUGGGAACAGCAAAGUGACUCGGAAUAAAGGGCUUCAGCUACAGAGGUGAGAUCCUUGGAAAACUGACUGCCCAGAGCUCUGGAGCUUUCAGCCUUCACGCUAACGCACGGGCCCAGCUGGCUGGAGAUUAAAGCGCACAGUUGAAAACCAAAAAGCAUUUGAAAUUGCACCACUGAGCUGGCAGGAAAUUCCAGCUUUUUGUAGAUGUUGGAGGCGUUGGAACGGCGAGGAACCAGAAGGCUGCCAAAGAUUAUCACUCCAGCAACAAUGCUUACAGGCAGCUGAAGAACUCGAGGCCUCCUGUGAAGCCUUUGGCACCAAUGGAAGACUUCAGCUUCCUCUUCUCUCAUCCCCUUUCCUCCCCCCCUCACCAAGAGCAAAUCAAGCCCUGCUAGCAUGAGCGGUGGAGAACAGAAUCUGCAUUGACGACAGAUGGAACGAAUGUUAUGGAUGCAUCCCAGGCCCUGAGCUGUUGUGCCACAUAAAUCAGUAGUAAAACUUUGCCAACUCAGAAUGCUUCACAGGACUAGACUAUCAGCCAGCUUAAUGUCUGGCUCUGCAACCCCAAAAUUGCAUGGUCCAAAU